rnacentral:rRNA from 1 species
AGUUUGAUCAUGGCUCAGAUUGAACGCUGGCGGAAUGCUUUACACAUGCAAGUCGAACGGUAGAGGGGGCAACCCCUUGAGAGUGGCGAACGGGUGAGUAAUAUAUCGGAACGUGCCCAGUCGUGGGGGAUAACGUAGCGAAAGUUACGCUAAUACCGCAUACGAUCUAAGGAUGAAAGCGGGGGAUCGCAAGACCUCGCGCGAUUGGAGCGGCCGAUAUCAGAUUAGGUAGUUGGUGAGGUAAAGGCUCACCAAGCCAACGAUCUGUAGCUGGUCUGAGAGGACGACCAGCCACACUGGAACUGAGACACGGUCCAGACUCCUACGGGAGGCAGCAGUGGGGAAUUUUGGACAAUGGACGCAAGUCUGAUCCAGCCAUUCCGCGUGCAGGAUGAAGGCCCUCGGGUUGUAAACUGCUUUUGUACGGAACGAAAAGGUUUGUCUUAAUACGAUGAGCUCAUGACGGUACCGUAAGAAUAAGCACCGGCUAACUACGUG